rnacentral:tRNA from 1 species
AACUUUAUAUUCAAUAAUGAUAUUAGAUUGCAAAUCUAAAGGAAUAACAAAUAAAAAGUUAUUAAAGUUU